GCCGGGCAUGGUGGCACAUGCCUGUAGUCCCAGCUACUUAGGAGGCUGAGGCAGGAGAAUCGCUUGAACCCAGGAGGCAGAGGUUGUUGCAGUGAGCCAAGGUCGUGCCACUGUACUCCAUCCUGGGUGACAGAGCGAGACUCUGUCUCAA
rfam:Pan troglodytes isolate Yerkes chimp pedigree #C0471 (Clint) chromosome 9, whole genome shotgun sequence.